AAUGAACGCUGGCGGCAGGCCUAACACAUGCAAGUCGAACGGAUCCUUCGGGAUUAGUGGCGGACGGGUGAGUAACGCGUGGGAACAUACCCUUUGGUACGGAAUAGCCUCGGGAAACUGGGAGUAAUACCGUAUGUGGUUGAGAGACGAAAGAUUUAUCGCCAAAGGAUUGGCCCGCGUUGGAUUAGGUAGUUGGUGGGGUAAUGGCCUACCAAGCCGACGAUCCAUAGCUGGUUUGAGAGGAUGAUCAGCCACCCUGGGACUGAGACACGGCCAGACUCCUACGGGAGGCAGCAGUGGGGAAUCUUAGACAAUGGGGGAAACCCUGAUCUAGCCAUGCCGCGUGAUCGAUGAAGGCCUUAGGGUUGUAUAGAUCUUUCAGGUGGGAAGAUAAUGACUGUACCACCAGAAGAAGCCCCGGCUAACUCCGUGCCAGCAGCCGCAGUAACAC
rnacentral:rRNA from 1 species